CUCCCAGCCGCCAAGAAGAGCGUAUCACAUAAGAGCAAACACCUUCCCUUUCUGAUCCUGCCCGUGGUGGAGUCGAGCAGGAGAGUCAAGCCAGGAACCGGGGCGGAUGAGGGGUGGCUCCCCCAGAACAGAAAGAGUGACGAGCACAGCCGUUACAAACACAAGUGAGGAAAUGGGACUAAAAGCAGGGGAGACGCCCAACGCUCAAAGAAAUCUGUGAAGCCAGAGACGAGGUUAUGAAGACAGAGAGGAAGUCCAGCGAGCAUCAGAGGGCAGCUGGGCAGAGAACGUUCCAGAAGUUAGGAUGGUGGACUUCACCCAUGCAGAGGACGCAGGUGCAGGUGAAAGGAUGCAGUAAGACGAUGGCGUCCUCGGGAGCUCUUUCCAAGGAUUUCAUGGACAUGUCCCGAGAGCUGCCUGCGGACCGUCCAUCAGCCGAGGCGGCCAAUUUGAGACGUAAAACCGACUGUGAGCAGCUCUGAGAUGAGGUGGCACUCCGUCUUCAAGCUGAGCUUACGUGAGGAGUCAGCCAGCCAAAGGCGUCCCAUCGCGUCCCUCUCUACAGCUGAGUCACCUGGGUGUCCUCCAGGCAAGGACAGAAUCCUUGGUCUGUUUGAUGGGCUGAACCGCGGGGGAGGAGAGCAGUUUGUUCCUUCCACGCGGGCAGAGGUCGGGGGUGGUCAGAGAAUGAAUAGGGAUGGAGGGGGU
rnacentral:lncRNA from 1 species